GUGUUAUGCUUAAACAAUGGCUUAAGGUAACACCCCCUGUCUGUCACUGUGUAACCCUUAAACAAUGGCUUAAGUAAACACACCCUGUCAGUCACUGUGUAACGUUUAAACAAUGGCUUAAGGUAACACACCCUGUCAGUCACUGUGUUAUGCUUAAACAAUGGCUUAAGGUAACACACCCUGUCUGUCACUGUGUAACGCUUAAACAAUGGCUUAAGUAAACACACCCUGUCAGUCACUGUGUUAUGCUUAAAUAAUGGCUUAAGGUAACACACCCUGUCUGUCACUGCGUAACGUUUAAACAAUGGCUUAAGGUAACACACCCUGUCUGUCACUGCGUAACGUUUAAACAAUGGCUUAAGGUAACACACCCUGUCAGUCACUGUGUAACGUUUAAACAAUGGCUUAAGGUAACACACCCUCUCAGUCACUGUGUUAUGCUUAAACAAUGGCUUAAGGUAACACACCCUGUCAGUCACUGUGCAACGUUUAAACAAUGGCUUAAGGUAACACACCCUCUCAGUCACUGUGUUAUGUUUAAACAAUGGCUUAAGGUAAAACACCCUGUCAGUCACUGUGUAACGUUUAAACAAUGGUUAAGGUAACACGCCCUGUCAGUCACUGUGUAACGCUUAAACAAUGGCUUAAGGUAACACACCCUGUCUGUCACUGUUUAACGUUUAAACAAUGGCUUAAGGUAACACACCCUCUCAGUCACUGUGUUAUGCUUAAACAAUGGCUUGAGGUAACACACCCUGUCAGUCACUGUGUAACGCUUAAACAAUGGCUUAAGGUAACACACCCUAGAGUGAUCUGGUGUCACAGUGGAUAGCACAUUGUUCUUUCACCAAGGCUUAUUAGCUUAUAUGACAGUAUAAUACAUUGUUAUACGGAAUUUUUGUUUGAGUUCCUGUUUGAGAAUGAAGCUAAAGCUGAAAUGUCAUCGAGAAGUACAAAGUAAUGUAAUUGUAAGUUUUUAAGACAUGAACAUAUUUCUAUUCCAAAUAUUUUUAUACGUUUUUUGUACACACAUACAAACAGAAGUAAUUGACCUAUUUGUUAUAUUUAUUGAUUCAUCAUCUAUUGAAUUUUUAUCACGAGAUAUGGUUAUUUUGCAUAAAUGUAACUACAUGUAAUCUAUUUUUUAUAUUUUUGUGUUUAAAUACAUGUUUCAUGGGGUGCUGGACUUCAUAUUUGGGACCAACAGCACAUCCGAUGAUCUAUAUCAUGUUGCAUACGGUAUGUAACGAUCAUGAGUUUAGAAUGACAUACAAUAUUUACAACUUUGUUGUAAACAUUUUGUUUUUAUUGUCAAAGUAUCGGAUUGAUGUAAGCUUACAUAUUCUAGUGGUAGUCUUAUUUUAGAACAUUUUGUGCUAUGAAUAUCACUCUAAAUCACGAAUGCGCCAAUUGAAGUUGUCCUUGAUAGGCCAUUUAAUAUAUGUGUUAGUCUGUUACAGUUCGAAAAUGCGCUGAAAUAAGUAUGUUUAAAGUAGUAUCUGUGACACUGAGUUUCUUACCUUAGCCAUAAUACCAAGAAAUUUGAUUUAAAAGAAAUAAUUCCAUUAUUUUAUCUUUCGAUAUGAAAAAUUCACUCAUUCAUUCAUUAUAUAAAAUGCUAUUACGUAUAUCUCCAAAUUCUUGAGUAUUUGUUGAAAAAGCAAAAUGAAAACACUCAUUACAGUCGGACUUUAAUUGUGGUGAAUUUAAUAAAGAUUGAACUAAACAUGCACAAUGGAAUCAAUGGAUCAGAGACAGGGUCCAUUCUAUAAUUAAAGGUUUGAAUUGGAGUUCUAAUCAAAACCAUUCUUUGUACAUAUAUCAUGUUCCUUUAUAAAAUGAUGUAUUAUGAUACAUGUCGAUAACAUUUAGUUUUUUAAUGGUCUUCAUUACAAAAUAUGUGACAGAUCUUGAACACCAUUUUAAAGGUUUAUUUUAGAACUUUUCUUUUAGAUAAGGAAUUUAAAUAAUUCUAAGUGGUUAAAUUGACAUCCAAGGAUGUGGGUUUUGCAGAAAAUAUCAUAACCAUGACCAAUACAAUUAUAAUGUCCCAGUAUGUUAGGUAUCUUUGUCAAUAUAAGAUAUUUUGUAUUUGCUUGUAAUGUUUACAAAUACUAAAAUAUGUUUUCCCCCUUUCCCCACCAAUAAAGGAUGUUUACGCUACAUGACCGAAGGUAGCCCUUUGUACCACUAUUGCUUUCGUCCAUUGUACGACUGUCAAACCAUGUAUAAAGAUGUUCAGAUAUUUGCUCACUCUUUUGCUAUUCCUCAAUGAAUUUUCAACAGAAAUUUACGUAACAGGCCUCAUUUUACUCUUCUCACCGAAUUAUUUGAUUACUAUGUAACACAAAUUUAAAUGGAUUCUAUAGAUUUUUAUUUCUUUUUAAGUGCAUAAUUAAUCUGAUGUCAGUUUUUCUCCUUCAUAAACAUAAUUUCUAGAUUUGCAUAUAUAGGUAUAGUAGAUACAUGAUUUUUUUAAAUACAUUUGAAAGAUUUUCGUGGAAUUCCACUUAUACUAACUAGUCUUUAAGUAUUCAAUUAAAAUUUGACCAUAUUUAAUUGUGUUAACAAUAGAAUUGACCGCAGGCUAAGUCUGGUAUAAGUUCUAUCCUGAUCGGUUGACACAACGAAGACAGUGAUGAAAUGAUCUGGUCAACAGGGAAUGUCUAGACGAUUAAGUAGUGUAGGGGGGGACAACUCGGGUACUCUAGAGAAUAUUCUAAUGAUUGAUCUUCAAAACUUGCUAUCUCAUGCCCAUUCAGGCUAUUCAGAAAGAAUGAGUGAUCUUUUUAUGGCAUUCAGAAAUACUCAUUUGUGUAGUAAAAAUCAGCAGUUAAUGACAUCCACAAAUUAGUGACAUUGUACUAGUCAAAAAUUAUAACUUCAUAAUAAUUGUACUACAAAAAGUAACAAUAUCAAUAUGCUGAAACUAGUCUAAUACAGGGCAAGAUACUGAAACUAUCUAAUACAGGGCAAGAUACUGAAACUAGAAACUAUCUAAUACAGGGCAAGAUACUGAAACUAUCUAAUACAGGGCAAGAAUACCAAUAGUGGGAUUACAAUGACUGCAAGGAGAUAUAGAUGGGUUUUUUUAAAAAUAAUUACUGUUUUUUUGUUCUUUAAACUGUUGAUAUUUUAUUGCGCAUAAAAUAACAUCCUUAUUCUGGUUAUUACCGAGUUUAGAUGAACAUUAUGUCAUUGUUCUAUUGGUUCAUCUUUGAUCCCCCUUGAUUUCCAGAAUAAAAGUAACUAACGACUUCCCUAUACCACGCCACCCAGUCCACAAGACACGGAUAGCCGUCAGUUCUUGUUUGAUUUGUUACGUACCAUAUACCAAGUCAACCUAACACUGAUUACAGAUUACAACUUCCAAAUCAUAGUGUCUGUACAUAUUGCCAGCGUCAUUUAUGUUUUUAUUUCAGCUUUGCUUUGAAAUAUUUACUGUCCGUAGUAAAAUAUACUAUUUAGAGACGACAAUGGAAUAUUGAAUGAUCAAUUUCUAAUGAGUGAUUAAAGGCCCUUUUGGCCUCUUGUUUGGAUUAGAAUUGUGAAGCUAUCAUGAUUGUAUGAAAUGUAUGGUUCCAUAUAUAUUACCUGUGACAGGCUUGUGGUGUAUUAAUUUAAAGUUUCUUGUUCAACAGAAUAUACAGACAAGGUUCAUGGCAGAACCAAUCAAGGAUUUUUCAAACAGGAAGAUGCACAUUUUCUCAAUGAUACCUGAAACAAAAUGGAGUUGAGGUUUGGGUGUUAAUAAAACAAUGAUUGCUAGGCCUACGAUCGCCCACACCAGUAAUGACCGCAUUAUUAGGACUGAAGGACAAUUUAGUCCCCGUUACAGGGCGGCUGGUCUACCGAGUUUGUCACAGGUAGUACAAAGGGAUGUAUGCCAACAGUUACUAUUUUUCUAUAGUUUAUAAACAUGUUGAUAAUGCAAAAAAUCUGGUAUUUUUUAUAAAACAUAUAAAAGUUACUUGUUUCGCAAGAAAGCCAUUCCAAAUGUAUUGCAUAUUGUAAUAUUGAGUGUCUAUUAUUAAUACACAUGAAUGCAAUUACAUCUGUUAAAAGUGAGGUUUUAUGUUAAUUAAAAAUAUAUGUUGAUUAAUCAAAAAUAAAUAACAAUGAUGAUGAAA